AUUGAACGCUGGCGGCAGGCUUAACACAUGCAAGUCGAGCGGGGGUAGUUGCUUCGGUAAUUGACCUAGCGGCGGACGGGUGAGUAAUACUUAGGAAUCUGCCUAUUAAUGGGGGACAACAUCUCGAAAGGGAUGCUAAUACCGCAUACGCCCUACGGGGGAAAGCAGGGGAUCACUGGUGACCUUGCGUUAAUAGAUGAGCCUAUGUCGGAUUAGCUAGUUGGUGGGGUAAAGGCCUACCAAGGCGAAGGUCUGUAGCGGGUCUGAGAGGAUGAUCCGCCACACUGGGGCUGAGACACGGCCCAGACUCCUACGGGAGGCAGCAGUGGGGAAUAUUGAACAAUGGGGGGAACCCUGAUCCAGCCAUGCCGCGUGUGUGAAGAAGGCCUUAUGGUUGUAAAGCACUUUAAGCGAGGAGGAGGCUCUUUUGGUUAAUACCCAAGAUGAGUGGACGUUACUCGCAGAAUAAGCACCGGCUAACUCUGUGCCAGCCGCCGCAGUAA
rnacentral:rRNA from 1 species